GGCAGCGGCUAUCAUGAAAGGUCAUGAUUCUCUUAGAUUGAGAAGGUGAACUUUUUUGCUUUAGGACUGCUUAAGUAUUUCUGUAAAAUCCUCACUCUCUCCCAUCAACAAAGACCAAACUGACACAUAGGCAGGACAUGACUCUACAAUUAGCAAGUUAAAAAGGACCAGAUAAAUUAUCUGUUCUCUUCCUGACUGUCUACAGCAUGGUGAUCCCUUUCUCAAAUGUGCUUUGUUUCUGUUGGAUGAAUAUAACCAAACUUUCCUGUCUGUCCUGAGAUUAACCCCCAGUGCUCAGUCAAGGAUCAAUCAGACUUUCAACUCACUAACAUUUUGGUUUAUUUUGUCCUCUUAGGCAAAAAUAACUCCUGGGUGUUAAUGGCACCAUGCUUUGCUCAGAUCAAGAAUCGCAGGGUGCCUAUUUUGAAACUAAUUACUCACUUAAGCAAUUGCUUCCAUCUCUUUUGCCCCACAGUGAGCAUAAUAUAAAGAUAAAGGUAAAGGGACCCCUGACCAUUAGGUCCAGUCGUGGCCGACUCUGGGGUUGCGGCUCUCAUCUCGCUUUAUUGUCCAAGGGAGCCGGCGUACAGCUUCCGGGUCAUGUGGCCAGCAUGACUAAGCCGCUUCUGGCGAACCAGAGCAGCGCAUGGAAACGCCAUUUACCUUCCCGCUGGAGUGGUACCUAUUUAUCUACUUGCACUUUGACGUGUUUUCGAAGCGGGAGCAGGGACCAAGCAACGGGAGCUCACCCCGUCGCGGG